GAUGAACGCUGACAGCAUGCUUAACACAUGCAAGUCGACUUGAAUUUGGGUUUUUAACUUGGGUUUUGGUGUCGCACGGGUGAGUAACGCGUAAAGAACUUCUCCCCCAGCUUUUGGCAUCAUUUCAAAACGCUUGCUAAUACCUCAUAUUAUGAUACUAGGUCCUCCUAUAAUUAUGAAAACUAUCAGCGCUGUGGGAGGGCUUUGCGUCUCAUUAGCUAGUUGGUGAGGUAACGGCUAACCAAGGCGAUGAUGGGUAGCCGGCCUGAGAGGGUGAUCGGCAAAAAGGGGACUGAGACACGGCCAUUACGCCUAGGGGAGGCAGCAGUGGGAAAAAUUGGACAAGGGACCAAGAGUGUGAUACAGAAAUUCUGUGUGCAAGAUGAAGUUUUUGGGAAUGAAAAGUGCUUGCAGGUGAGAAGAAAGAAAUGACGGUACAAACAGAAGAAGUGACGGCUAAAUACGUG
rnacentral:rRNA from 1 species